UCCGCAUAGGAUACACCUGUGUAUCCUCUAGGGGUGGAACGGUACACAGAAGUCACGGUUCGGUUCGUAACUCGGUUUAGACUUCACGGUUCGGUACGAUUUUGGUACAAUGGAAGGAAAAGCAAAACAAAAAUGCAGAAGCUUGAAAUUCACCCGGGCUUUUUGUUCCCAAAAACGUGUUGUGGUCAGCAAGCCAUGCAAACACCCCCACUACCAUGGCACGGAUGCUCUUACUGGGAGUGUUUGAUAUCGAAACCCUUUUAAAGAGCAAUCUUAGAGGUGGCAAGUCCAAAAAUGUGAGCCCUGGGGAAACCAAAGAGCCAUUGGACAGGAUAAAAAUUGAUGCAAUAAUGAUUGGACAAAUUCUAGUCCUGAUGAUUCUGCCACGAGAAGAAGGCAACCCCCAACUGACGGGGGAGGCUAAGGAAAGUUCCGGUUCUGGACAACGUUUACUGGGGCGUGGAAGACCAACUGCACAAACAUGCCACGCUGGGUCCAUACCAGGUACACCUCAUAUGCUGUCCAGGUAGCUGAGGAAGGAGCCUGGGGUCGACGCCACACGCUACAGGAGGGCUUCAGUGUUUACAAAUUUGGCACAGUGAAUUGAAGUCACUGAGGGAAAAGUGAGCUUUUUGGUACUAGUAACCAUCACUUCCAACCCGGCCUGCCACUAUAGAGUUCUUAAAUAAAACUGGUCAUCUUGGAAUUCACAAAAGAGAGCACACAGAUUCUCCUGACCUG